CUCUAAAUGAACCAACAUUUACACAUGAGGAUCUGAAUUUCACAACCGAAUUCAGAGGCCAACCGUGUGUGUGUGCGCAUUUCAAAAUCAAAGAUGGAAACCAUGAAAAUGUGCUUUAUGGUCACAAUUUUUGCUCUUGUGAUGUCACAUCUUCUUCAAUCCAUAAACGCUCAAAGUCCUGCUCCUGCUCCUGCUCCUUCAAACGACGGAGCAGCGAUUGAUCAAGGAGUAGCGUAUGUGCUGAUGCUUGUUGCUUUGGCUUUGACCUAUAUUAUUCACUAGAUUUUCAUUUUGAAUUUGGGAUUUUUUUUUUCUGUUAAUUUGUUCUCAGGAUUAAUUAAUGAGUUAUUUAUCUGUAUUUCUUUUUUGAAUUUAUUAUUAUUUGGUUGACAAUUUUCUAAUUUGAAUCCAAUUCUUUUAUGUAAAGAUUCUUUUUGUUAUUAUCAUCAUGUGGAAUGUAAUUCGGUGCAACUUGUUUGUUUUA